rnacentral:rRNA from 1 species
UACGUAGGGGGCUAGCGUUGUCCGGAAUUAUUGGGCGUAAAGAGCGCGCAGGCGGCUUGGUAAGUCGGAUGUGAAAUCCCGAGGCUCAACCUCGGGUCUGCAUUCGAUACUGCCGUGCUUGAGGACUGGAGAGGAGACUGGAAUUUACGGUGUAGCGGUGAAAUGCGUAGAUAUCGUAAGGAAGACCAGUGGCGAAGGCGGGUCUCUGGACAGUUCCUGACGCUGAGGCACGAAGGUCAGGGGAGCAAACGGG